rnacentral:rRNA from 1 species
AUUGAACGCUGGCGGCAGGCCUAACACAUGCAAGUCGGGCGAGCAGCGGACGGGUGAGUAAUGUAUGGGGACUGCCCGAUAGAGGGGGCUAACUACUGGAAACGGUGGCUAAUACCGCAUACUAUCGGAUAACCCAUAUGGGAUUAGCUAGUAGGUGGGGUAAAGGCUGCCCUAGGCGACGAUCUCUAGCUGGUCUGAGAGGAUGAUCAGCCACACUGGUACGGAGAUACGGCCCGGACUCCUACGGAGGCAGCAGUGGGGAAUAUGGCACAAUGGGCGCAAGCCUGAUGCAGCCAUGCCGCGUGUAUGAAGAAGGCCUUAGGGUUGUAAAGUACUUUCAGCGGGGAGGCGUUACCCGCAGAAGAAGCAACGGCUAACUCCGUGCCAGCAGCCGCGGUAAUUC